GAUGAACGCUAGCUACAGGCCUAACACAUGCAAGUCGAGGGACCGGCGCACGGGUGAGUAACACGUAUCCAACCUGCCCUUUACUCGGGGAUAGCCUUUCGAAAGAAAGAUUAAUACCCGAUAUAAUGGAUGGGGAUGCGUUCCCUUAGGUUGUUGGUGAGGUAACGGCCCACCAAGCCUUCGAUGGUUAGGGGUUCGGAGAGGAAGGUCCCCCACAUUGGAACUGCGGCACGGUCCAAACUCCUACGGAAGGCAGCAGUGAGGAAUAUUGGGCAAUGGGCGUUAGCCUGAACCAGCCGAGUAGCGUGAAGGAUGAAGGCUUAUGAGUCGUAAACUUCUUGUAUAUAAGAAUAUGUAUUAUAUGAAUAAGGAUCGGCUAACUCCGUGCCAGCAGCCGCGGUAAUUC
rnacentral:rRNA from 1 species